rnacentral:rRNA from 1 species
UACGGAGGGUGCAAGCGUUAUCCGGAUUCACUGGGUUUAAAGGGUGCGUAGGUGGCUUUGUAAGUCAGUGGUGAAAUGCCGCAGCUCAACUGCGGAACUGCCAUUGAUACUGCUUAGCUUGAAUCAGGUCGAGGUGGAUGGAAUAUUACAUGUAGCGGUGAAAUGCUUAGAUAUGUAAUAGAACACCGAUUGCGAAGGCAGUUCACUAGGCCUGAAUUGACACUGAGGCACGAAAGCGUGGGGAUCAAACAGG